rnacentral:misc_RNA from 1 species
UGUGGGAGCUGGCUUGCCUGCGAUGCGCACGCCUCGGUGUAUCAGUCACAGCGCGCUGACGCUAUCGCAGGCAAGCCAGCUCCCACA